GGGGUAAGAAUGACCUCGAUCUAUGGUAUCCAAAAACGGCAUCAAGAGAGUUGGAAAAGGCGGGAGAAGCCAAUAUUUUUUUAUUAAAAAAUUAUUACGGUGAACUUCUCAUCAUCUAUCGUCAGGAACAAAUACCUGCAAAAUAGCAUCCACACAGACUGGAUUUGUGUUCGACGGAAACCCUCCGAUAUCUAAGUCAAAGAGAGAAGUUGGUGAACAGGAGUUGAAUGUAAGCAAUAACAGAGUUUUGGCCCAG
rnacentral:lncRNA from 1 species